rnacentral:rRNA from 1 species
CGCGUAGGCGGCUGUUCAAGUCGGGGGUGAAAUCCCGUGGCUCAACCACGGAAUGGCCUUCGAUACUGGACGGCUCGAGACCGGAAGAGGUGAGUGGAACUGCGAGUGUAGAGGUGAAAUUCGUAGAUACUCGCAAGAACACCAGUGGCGAAGGCGGCUCACUGGUCCGGUUCUGACGCUGAGGCGCGAAAGCGUGGGGAGCAAACA